rnacentral:rRNA from 1 species
UACGUAGGGGGCUAGCGUUGUCCGGAAUCAUUGGGCGUAAAGAGCGUGUAGGCGGUCCGGUAAGUCCGCUGUGAAAGUCGGGGGGCUCAACCCUCGAAUGCCCGGUGGAUACUGUCGGGGCUAGAGUGCGGAAGAGGCGAGUGGAAUUCCUGGGUGUAGCGGUGAAAUGACGCAGAUAUCAGGAGGAACACCGGUGGCGAAGGCGGGUCUCUGGGCAGUAACUGACGCUGAGGAGCGAAAGCGUGGGGAGCGAACAGG